GUGGGGAAUAUUGCACAAUGGGGGAAACCCUGAUGCAGCAACGCCGCGUGAAGGAUGAAGGUUUUCGGAUUGUAAACUUCUUUAGUCGGGGACGAAGAAAUGACGGUACCCGAAGAAUAAGCCACGGCUAACUACGUGCCAGCAGCCGCGGUAAUACGUAGGUGGCGAGCGUUGUCCGGAAUUACUGGGUGUAAAGGGCGUGUAGACGGGUAGGCAAGUCAGAUGUGAAAUUCCAGGGCUCAACCCUGGCGCUGCAUCUGAAACUGUUUAUCUUGAGUGCUGGAGAGGAAAGCGGAAUUCCUAGUGUAGCGGUGAAAUGCGUAGAUAUUAGGAGGAACACCAGUGGCGAAGGCGGCUUUCUGGACAGUAACUGACGUUGAGGCGCGAAAGCGUGGGGAGCAAACAGGAUUAGAAACCCGGGUAGUCC
rnacentral:rRNA from 1 species